rnacentral:rRNA from 1 species
CUACGGGUUGCUGCAGUGAGGAAUAUUGCACAAUGGGGGGAACCCUGAUGCAGCAACGCCGCGUGGAGGAUGACGCAUUUCGGUGUGUAAACUCCUUUUAUAUGUCAAGAAAAUGACGGUAGCAUAUGAAUAAGCACCGGCUAACUCCGUGCCAGCAGCCGCGGUAAUACGGGGGGUGCAAGCGUUACUCGGAAUCACUGGGCGUAAAGGACGCGUAGGCGGGUUGGUAAGUCAGGUGUGAAAUCCUACAGCUUAACUGUAGAACUGCACUUGAAACUUCUAAUCUAGAGUAUGGGAGGGGGCGAUGAAAUUAGUGGUGUAGGGGUAAGAACCGUAGAUAUCACUAGGAAUACCUAAAGCGAAGGCGAUCUCCUGGAACAUUACUGACGCUAAGGCGUGAAAGCGUGGGGAGCAAACAGGAUUAGAUACCCGAGUAGUC